ACGGGUGAGUAACGCGUAGGUAACCUGCCUGGUAGCGGGGGAUAACUAUUGGAAACGAUAGCUAAUACCGCAUAAUAUUAAUUAUUGCAUGAUAAUUGAUUAAAAGGUGCAAUUGCACCACUACCAGAUGGACCUGCGUUGUAUUAGCUAGUAGGUGAGGUAACGGCUCACCUAGGCGACGAUACAUAGCCGACCUGAGAGGGUGAUCGGCCACACUGGGACUGAGACACGGCCCAGACUCCUACGGGAGGCAGCAGUAGGGAAUCUUCGGCAAUGGACGAAAGUCUGACCGAGCAACGCCGCGUGAGUGAAGAAGGUUUUCGGAUCGUAAAGCUCUGUUGUAAGAGAAGAACGGGUGUGAGAGUGGAAAGUUCACACUGUGACGGUAUCUUACCAGAAAGGGACGGCUAACUACGUGCCAGCAGCCGCGGUAAUACGUAUGUCACGAGCGUUAUCCGGAUUUAUUGGGCGUAAAGCGCGUCUAGGUGGUUAUGUAAGUCUGAUGUGAAAAUGCAGGGCUUAACUCUGUAUUGCGUUGGAAACUGAAUAACUAGAGUACUGGAGAGGUAAGUGGAACUACAAGUGUAGAGGUGAAAUUCGUAGAUAUUUGUAGGAAUGCCGAUGGGGAAGCCAGCUUACUGGACAGAUACUGACGCUAAAGCGCGAAAGCGUGGGUAGCAAACAGGAUUAGAUACCCU
rnacentral:rRNA from 1 species